UACGUAGGUGGCAAGCGUUGUCCGGAAUUAUUGGGCGUAAAGCGCGCGCAGGCGGUCUUUUAAGUCUGAUGUGAAAUCUCGCGGCUCACCGUGAGCGGUCAUUGGAAACUGGGAGACUUGAGUGCAGAAGAGAAGAGACGGAAUUCCACGUGUAGCGGUGAAAAUGCGUAGAGAUGUGGAGGAACACCAGUGGCGAAGGCGGCUCUUUGGUCUGUAACUGACGCUGAGGCGCGAAAAGCGUGGGGAGCGAACAGG
rnacentral:rRNA from 1 species